rnacentral:rRNA from 1 species
AGUGAACGCUGGCGGUAGGCCUAACACAUGCAAGUCGAACGGCAGCACAGUAAGAGCUUGCUCUUACGGGUGGCGAGUGGCGGACGGGUGAGGAAUACAUCGGAAUCUACUUUUUGGUGGGGGAUAACGUAGGGAAACUUACGCUAAUACCGCAUACGACCUACGGGUGAAAGCAGGGGAUCUUCGGACCUUGCGCGAUUGAAUGAGCCGAUGUCGGAUUAGCUAGUUGGCGGGGUAAAGGCCCACCAAGGCGACGAUCCGUAGCUGGUCUGAGAGGAUGGUCAGCCACACUGGAACUGAGACACGGUCCAGACUCCUACGGGAGGCAGCAGUGGGGAAUAUUGGACAAUGGGCGCAAGCCUGAUCCAGCCAUACCGCGUGGGUGAAGAAGGCCUUCGGGUUGUAAAGCCCUUUUGUUGGGAAAGAAAAGCAGCAGGUUAAUACCCCGCUGUUCUGACGGUACCCAAAGAAUAAGCACCGGCUAACUUCGUG